GUCUCUGUGUCGCAAUCGGUUAGCGCGUUCGGCUGUUAACUGAAAGGUUGGUGGUUCAAGCCCACCCAGGGACG
rfam:Danio rerio chromosome 4, GRCz11 reference primary assembly.